rnacentral:rRNA from 1 species
UACGUAGGGUGCAAGCGUUAAUCGGAAUUACUGGGCGUAAAGCGUGCGCAGGCGGUUAUGUAAGACAGAUGUGAAAUGCCCGGGCUUAACCUGGGAACUGCAUUUGUGACUGCAUGGCUAGAGUUUGGCAGAGGGGGGUAGAAUUCCACGUGUAGCAGUGAAAUGCUUAGAUAUGACACAGAACACCGAUUGCGAAGGCAGCUCACUAAACUGUAACUGACGCUGAGGCACGAAAGCGUGGGGAGCAAACAGG